CGCACAUUGCGCCCAUUAGUAUUCUAUUGGGCAUGCCUGUUCGAGCGUCAUUUCAACCCUUAAGCCUAGCUUAGUGUUGGGAAUCUACUGUCCGGGAGGUGCUACCCUGUAGCGCCUACCCUGUAGUUCCCUAAAAUCAACGGCGGACUUGUAGUAUCCUCUGAGCGUAGUAAUUUUUUCUCGCUUCUGUAAGGUGCUGUAAUUCUUGCCGCUAAACCCCCAAUUUUUAAUGGUUGACCUCGGAUCAGGUAGGAAUACCCGCUGAACUUAA
rnacentral:misc_RNA from 1 species